rnacentral:lncRNA from 1 species
GGCUCUCCGGCGAGGUUCGUGUUUUGGUGAUUCGGCUUCGGUCAACCUGUAGAGAAAAGAAUGGUGAUCACGGUGAUAUAAAAAUUGCAUCGAACGGAGGCCGGGAAGGACCUCGUCGGAGGCAAAAACCGAGAGGGGCGCGGCGGCGCCGCUGGGUUUCGGCCGCGUAUUCCGGCCGUUUGGCCGGGAUUUCGGCCUCAAUUUGGCCAUAGGAGGAAUCAGCGGAGAAAAAUGAGUCGGGGGUAUGAAAUUUACCUCGAUCAGCGGUCGGAAAUUUCCCCGGUGCGGCGGCGGGUGGCGGCGGUCGGCCUCUGGUUCGUCUUCUCCGGCGAGCGGCGGGCGGCUAGGGUUUGUGGUCUGGUGUGGGGGUUCUAUUUAUAACCCCUUGCCUUUUGAUCACAGCCGUUCAUUUCGUUUUAAUCUGGGCCGUUCGUUUUUGAUUGAAUCUGGGCCGUCCGUGC